CGGAGUGUAGCUCAGCCUGGUAGAGCACUGCCUUCGGGAGGCAGGGGUCGUGAGUUCGAAUCUCGCCACUCCGACCA
rnacentral:tRNA from 1 species